rnacentral:tRNA from 1 species
GGUGUGCUGGCGCAAUGGUAAGCAUGUUCUCCAGAGGAGCUUAAGGUUCUGGGUUCGAGUCCCAGGUACAUCG